rnacentral:tRNA from 1 species
GGGGAUAUAGCUCAGAUGGGAGAGCGAUGCGUUUGUAACGUAGGUCAUGGGUUCAAGUCCCAUUGUCCCCA